GGGGAAAACAGUAACUGUGUUUCACUGGUCAGUACCAGAUGUGCAUUGUGCAUCCGUAGUAGUAGUGUAAAUGCAUAAUCUGGUAUGUGACCGGCCGAUGCGCUCUCAUCCUAACCUUC
rnacentral:precursor_RNA from 10 species